rnacentral:rRNA from 1 species
CUAAGAAUAUUCCGCAAUGGACGGAAGUCUGACGGAGCGACGCCGCGUGGAUGACGAAGGCCGAAAGGUUGUAAAGUUCUUUUGCUGGGGAAGAUAACCGCAGGAGGGAAUGCCUGUGGGAUGACAAGAACCGGCGAAUAAGCCCCGGCCAACUACGUGCCAGCAGCCGCGGUAACACGUAGGGGGACGAGCGUUGUUCGGAAUUACUGGGCGUAAAGGGCAUGUAGGCGGCUUGGAAAGCCUGGCGUGAAAGUCUGCAGCUUAACUGCAGGGGUGCGCUGGGAACUGCUGAGCUUGAGUGACGGAGAGGGAGCUGGAAUUCCUGGUGUAGGGGUGAAAUCUGUAGAUAUCAGGGAAGAACACCGAUGGCGAAGGCAAGCUCCUGGCCGAUGACUGACGCUGAGGUGCGAAAGUGUGGGGAUCAAACAGGAUUAGAUACCCUGGUAGUCCACACAGUCAACGAUGUGCACUAGGUGCUGGGGCGGUAGCUUCGGUGCCGGAGCGAACGUGGUGAAGUGCACCGCCUGGGGAGUAUGCUCGCAAGGGUGAAACUUAAAGG